CAACUCUAUGUUCUAGAAAGUUUGAUUUUUGCACUUAAUAACCAUAUCCAACUAAUUUUUGGAGGUCGGGAUUUGAUAUUGCCAAUGUACACAUCAUGACCUUUCAUUUAAUAUACAACAACCCUAUCUUAAAAGAAAAUUUAUUUUUUGCACUCAAUGACCCCAUCCAAACCAUUUUUGGGAGACGUCAAUUUUAAAUUUGAAAUGUACGCUUUAUGUUCUUUCAUUUGAUAUGCGACAACCUUACCAUCUAAGAAAUUUGAAUGUUUGCACUAAAUGACCCCACCCGUCCUCCUGGGAUGAAAAGGGGGUUUAAAAUUUUCAUUUUUAAGUAGAGUUUAUUAAGACCUUCAAUUUGAUAUAUCAGAUGACCCCAUUUGACAAAGUGCAAAAAAUGAUGCAAUAUCAACUAUAUAAAUAGAAGUUAUGAAACUUACAAAGUCAAUGCAAAACUUGAAAAUUUCAAAUUGAAUUUUUGGCGUUUUUUUCCAUGGAAUGUUUUUGGUAUUUGGUCAAACAUAUAACUAUGUUAACCUC
rnacentral:lncRNA from 1 species